rnacentral:rRNA from 1 species
UGAUUCCCUUAGUAACGGCGAGCGAAGCGGGAAAAGCCCAGACCAAAAUCAGCAGGUUUUGGCCUGUCUGAUAUGUGGUCUUUGCGCCGGGGAUAUGCCAGCGGCGCCAACCUCUUCAAGUUUCUUGGAAAGGGGCCUCCCAGAGAGGGUGCUAGGCCUGUAGGUGGGGGGUUGGCUCGUUGGCGCUUCCACGGCCUUAGAGUCGGGUUGUUUGGGAAUGCAGCCCUAAGACGGUGGUAUGCUCCAUCUAAGGCUAAAUACUAGCACGAGUCCGAUAGCGAACAAGUACCGUGAGGGAAAGUU